AUUAAAAGGAGGCAGAGCCUCUUUUCUCUAGGCUAUUACGGAAAAACGGUGGCUUUCUCUCAAUUUCUCCUUGGUUCUUCGUAUAAAAAAAUGCUGAUCUACAAAAAUCUAGCCAUUCGAUUUUAGAUCCGACUUCGGUAACGUGAUCCUCAAAGCUCGAUCUACGUUUUGACCGAACGUUUUGAGAUUUUCUGUGGUUUGGAGUUGGUAGGAGCUUCCCGAACAUUUGGUCUUUGCUUGACAAAUUUUUGUAAUGCAUUGCAUGGUGGUGUCUAGGAGACCUAGUGCUUAAUAUCCGCGCAGCCAAGACAUUGAUGCUUUGGUUGCAGGUUCUGCGGAUAUAGAUAAUGACUCAUCCACCUAGCGUAUGGGAUAUUAUGAUUGGAGCACAUCGCGACAGUCAUAUGUCACAGACUCAUGGGUAGUCUGCAUUUGGGUAUUUUAUUUAUGGCUCGUGUCAUACGUGACAUAUGUAUUUGUUGAGCCUGUAUUUUAGUAUGUAAUUAGUGUAAUAUGUUUUAUAAGCUUUAAUCAGUUAGACAUGUAAAUGGCUCUUGUCGUCGAUAACAGUUAUAUAUUAGAUGUAUUUCCGCUA